CCUGUACUUGGUGUUACUGCGAAGGGGGGACGGAGAAGGCUAUGUUGGCCGGGCGACGGUUGUCCCGGUUUAAGCGUGUAGGCUGGUUUUCCAGGCAAAUCCGGAAAACCAAGGCUGAGGCGUGAUGACGAGGCACUACGGUGCUGAAGCGACAAAUGCCCUGCUUCCAGGAAAAGCCUCUAAGCAUCAGGUAACAUCAAAUCGUACCCCAAACCGACACAGGUGGUCAGGUAGAGAAUACCAAGGCGCUUGAGAGAACUCGGGUGAAGGAACUAGGCAAAAUGGUGCCGUAACUUCGGGAGAAGGCACGCUGAUAUGUAGGUGAAGCGACUUGCUCGUGGAGCUGAAAUCAGUCGAAGAUACCAGCUGGCUGCAACUGUUUAUUAAAAACACAGCACUGUGCAAACACGAAAGUGGACGUAUACGGUGUGACGCCUGCCCGGUGCCGGAAGGUUAAUUGAUGGGGUUAGCGGUAACGCGAAGCUCUUGAUCGAAGCCCCGGUAAACGGCGGCCGUAACUAUAACGGUCCUAAGGUAGCGAAAUUCCUUGUCGGGUAAGUUCCGACCUGCACGAAUGGCGUAAUGAUGGCCAGGCUGUCUCCACCCGAGACUCAGUGAAAUUGAACUCGCUGUGAAGAUGCAGUGUACCCGCGGCAAGACGGAAAGACCCCGUGAACCUUUACUAUAGCUUGACACUGAACAUUGAGCCUUGAUGUGUAGGAUAGGUGGGAGGCUUUGAAGUGUGGACGCCAGUCUGCAUGGAGCCGACCUUGAAAUACCACCCUUUAAUGUUUGAUGUUCUAACGUUGGCCCGUAAUCCGGGUUGCGGACAGUGUCUGGUGGGUAGUUUGACUGGGGCGGUCUCCUCCUAAAGAGUAACGGAGGAGCACGAAGGUUGGCUAAUCCUGGUCGGACAUCAGGAGGUUAGUGCAAUGGCAUAAGCCAGCUUGACUGCGAGCGUGACGGCGCGAGCAGGUGCGAAAGCAGGUCAUAGUGAUCCGGUGGUUCUGAAUGGAAGGGCCAUCGCUCAACGGAUAAAAGGUACUCCGGGGAUAACAGGCUGAUACCGCCCAAGAGUUCAUAUCGACGGCGGUGUUUGGCACCUCGAUGUCGGCUCAUCACAUCCUGGGGCUGAAGUAGGUCCCAAGGGUAUGGCUGUUCGCCAUUUAAAGUGGUACGCGAGCUGGGUUUAGAACGUCGUGAGACAGUUCGGUCCCUAUCUGCCGUGGGCGCUGGAGAACUGAGGGGGGCUGCUCCUAGUACGAGAGGACCGGAGUGGACGCAUCACUGGUGUUCGGGUUGUCAUGCCAAUGGCACUGCCCGGUAGCUAAAUGCGGAAGAGAUAAAUGCUGAAAGCAUCUAAGCACGAAACUUGCCCCGAGAUGAGUUCUCCCUGACUCCUUGAGAGUCCUGAAGGAACGUUGAAGACGACGACGUUGAUAGGCCGGGUGUGUAAGCGCAGCGAUGCGUUGAGCUAACCGGUACUAAUGAACCGUGAGGCUUAACC
rnacentral:rRNA from 1 species